rnacentral:lncRNA from 1 species
AUGGCUCAUGGAGUGGGAGUGGGGGACAGAAUUAGCUAGCAAACCCAGAGAGAGACAGUUCUCUGCAUCCAAUGCUGUCUACCUCUACUUGGUGUUACCAAGGAGAAUGGCAAAGGGUCUUUGCAAGAAGCCUCAUUUAUUCUUGAAUUCCAGGAACCUAGGAACUAAGAAAAGCUUUGUUGUGUGGCUGACAGCUUCAGAUCUGGCAUGCACAAUGAAGGGAAAAUCAAAUGGGACCAUCCAUUAACAGAAAUGGCAACAUCACACUGCAAGAAGGCUUUUGUACAAGAUGGAAGGAAUAGUCACAGCCAUCUGCAAACUGUCUACCAUGUCACCACUCUGGCCACUGUAGAGAAUUGAGGUGAUAGAGGUUGACAGAGCCAGCUGAGCCAGAAUGGACCACUUACUCCUAUGAUUAUGAACAAAUAAACAGUUACCAUUGAGGCAACUAGAAUUUUGAGAUAGCCUGUCCAAACUAACUAAAACAACUUCUGAACCCUUAAACUAGAUAAAUG